GUUAUGUCAUUCAUCGUGUGGAUUUUUGAGGCAGAGACGGUCACUAGAUGCCCAUAAUGGCGCCUACCAUCGUUAUUAUUCAGAAACCAAUGAUGGAGUUUCGGGUUACUCAUAGUCAACAGGCAUAAAAAGGAAAAGGGCAGGGGAAAAACACGAGUAAAACUAAACGGAAGAAAAAAGACAGAGUGAAGCCCCUGCAAACUGCAAGCCCCCGCUCCAGAAGAUCAACCAAAGUCAUCGAAGGCACCACUUCACGUAGGUAUUUCACAAAUUCGCCUCGAAUUGCCCUUUUCCCUGGUUAGAUGAUAUAGUUGUUUGUGGCGAUUAUCCUCUUUUGUCAUGCUAUGGGAGGUCUGUUGUCGAACAAUUUGCUGAAACACCCUUAUGAAGGAUGAGCGUGGAGGGCAUAGAUCGAUAAUAUUUGGGUGCCGCUGUUGUGGUUCAAAAAUAUUCUUGUCGCAAUUUAUGCGGAAUGGUGCCCGAAGGUUGAUGUCUUCAGUUUUUGAACUAGCCCAGGUUAUAUCGGCCAAAGACACUUGGCGCGCCAAAAUUUCUGUUUCUGAAUGAAUGUCCUUUCAAGAUUCUGCAAGGCCUACCGAGAACGAGGAGUUACUUCCGUAUUUCCUCGAUGAAUCAUUUUUUGUAGUUCAAGACCCACACUACAGAACUGAGUGGGGAUUCGUUUUCAAAAGAAUGCUUAACAUUUGAUAACCUGAAAUUUCAAGGCGUACCAACUCUACAGCAACUCUAAAUGGGGAUUCUUUUGUAAUUUGUUUUCUCCGACUCUGAAUUGUCGCAUUAAGGGUCUGAAAGACCAAGAUUUGGUAUAAUGGAGAAGAGUAUUCUGGAAGAGUUGGGCCUCGAAAUUAUUGGGGUGAUGGCGCCGGUAUCAAUUUGUAUGUUUCUCGUGGUUCUUCUAGUUUACACCAUUGUUCCACAAGGGUCAGAAUCUCCAAUUAGCUCAGCAGCCACCCUAGUUUACCUGGAGAAACCCACGGACUCAAACACAGAGAAGUUUGAAGGUGCACUUUUGAAUGCCGUGGUUUUCGUGAUACUGAUAGCAGUGGUUACGUUUAUUUUGGUUUUGCUCUACUACUAUCGUUGCACUAAUUUUCUGAAGAAUUACAUGCGCUUCUCAACAUUUAUCAUUCUUGGGUCUAUGGGGGGAUCCAUUUUCUUAUCCAUUAUUCAGCAUUUUUCCAUUCCACUUGAUGUGAUCACGUGCUCUAUAUUGCUUUACAACUUCUCCGUUGUUGGUGUGCUCUCGGUCUUUUCUGGUGGUGUCCCCAUUCUUGUCCGGCAGAUUUACAUGGUUGUGUUGGGAAUAACUGUUGCUGCCUGGUUUACCAAGCUCCCUGAGUGGACCACUUGGGUGAUCUUAGUUGCACUGGCUUUGUAUGAUCUGGUUGCUGUUUUGGCACCUGGUGGACCAUUGAAGCUUCUAGUUGAGCUCGCUUCAAGUCGGGAUGAAGAGCUUCCAGCCCUGGUCUAUGAGGCUCGUCCUACAGUUUCACGCCGUGAGGACUCUGCACUGAAUCUUUUGGUUGCUGGUGUUUCAGCAUCAGCAGAAGUCAGAGAGGAGAAUCCAAGUCCUCAAGUUAGACCAGCGGUUGAACUUCAGCCUGCCAGAAGCCCUACAAGGGUGAUACAUUCUUCAGAAAGUGCUGAAUAUCAGAUGAUUUCAUAUGAGGGACAUACUUCUAGAAACAGAGAUACUGUGCAUGGGAAUGCACAGACAUUCGGAAAUAUACUCACUGAAUCAACUGGUAUGGAGUUUGAGAGGAAUGAUGAGGAGGAAUCACCUUUGGUGAGUCACAAUGAUACAGAUGUGGAGGCGGGGACCCAUAGGAUUGAAGACGGUAUAAAAGUGCACCUAUCAACGUGGGCUCCAGGUUGCAGGAUUCACACUGGGUGCUGGUGAAGGUGGGAGUUGCUGUUUUGAGUCACCAACUUCAAUCAUUGGUUAUGUGACAACUGCACUCAAGUUCAGCCAAUGUGAAUUUGUUGGGAAGCUUUUGACUUUGUGAGCUAUGCCCAUGUAUGAAAUCUCCAGCAAGGCAGCAACUGUGUUCAGUGUAGCAUGCAAAUCAGAAGCACAUAAACCACUUGAGAAGAUGGAAGAUAGAGAUUGAUGCAAAGAAAGAUGGUGGGUUAUACGUAUUGAAGAAGUCUAUUAGUGGUUUCAGUGGUGGUCUAUAUCCCUGUUUUCCAUGUGUCUACUGGCUGUUUCGCAUCUCGUCAUGUACGUGCACCAUUGGUUGAAUGGUGACAUUGAAAUGUUUAUAAUGGGAAUUGUUCUUGCAAAGUAAGCUUAAAAGCCUGUAGUUGUCGCUUUUCUGUGCACCAUGACAAGUGAGCCCACGAUUACAGGAAAUUAACACGAGUGAAUUCUGAACAGAGAAGAUCAGAUACUGAACCAGAGAUUGGGCUCUGACUUUUGAUUGAGUUAACGGCCCUCCUGGCUUUUAAGAUGAGGAAUCGCCUGUACUUAACUUCGACAAGAUUGCAUCAUUUCUUGGAACCGUGGGCAUCGAACGAGUCAAUGCCAUAAAAAACGUGUCGGGUGGGGCACCUGACAAAGUUAGAAAUGACUUGGUAAGCGCUUGUAUAUGUCCGAUGUAUGUGUGUAUAUCUGCAUAAACUGUAUUCAUGUCUUGCAUAUAUGAGUUUAUGUAUGAACGUAUAAAUAUAUAUAUAUAAUCUGUUGUAAA